GCGGUCCGGCUGCGACUCCAGAACCUGGGCAGCUGCUUCUCUGCCACCGUUCGUGUCCCAACUCCAGAAGGAUUUUGCGAGCUAAUUGCAACGCCCCGUUGUCAGAUCCAAGCUUUGCGAGGUCCUUAAGAGGCAUCGGUGUGAACUUGUUCAGCUCAGCGCCGGCUUUCCACAGAGUGUUUCACCGUCCAGGUGCUUUUGUGGCAUCAGUGGCAAACAAAUCACAUUCCUUUACUGGUCACGCCAGAGGUGGCUACCCAUGGGUAGCCAGCGCUUGGCCCGGCACUCACCUCCCUUCCCCUGCAGGCGAUCCAGCCGGCAGCGUGGCUCCAUAGAAUCACGGAAUUGUAGAAUGUUAUGGGCUUGGAAUGGACCUUAAAGAUCAUCUAGUCCCGACAUGCCCUGGCACAGGCAGGGAACACCUCCCUCUAGACCCGGCCAUUCAAGGCUUUAUCCAGCCUGGCUUUGAACACUGCUUCAUUCCAGUACAGCUCCUUUCCUAAAGCCAGGAAAUGAUGGAGUGAGACCAGGAGAGAAAGCUGAUGGAGAAACCUAAGUGGAGCCUGGCAGUUCUUUAAAAGUUGAUUAGCUAAGCUGAAAGGCCACUUCUUCACUCAUUCCAGGGAGGAAAGCAAGCGCUGGCAUGGAGCCCGUUGGCCAGAGCAAGGCAGUCACUAAAAAGCCACAUGGUGGAGAGAGGCCAAGUGGGGAACACUCCGUCUGCUCAGAAACAACAGAGUGUGGAGAGGUGGAAGAGGAAGCUGGGGCAGCCAGGCAAAAGGUUACCCAGGGUAACCAGUGCUAAAAGCUGGAUAAGCCAAGCAGCUGCUUUGAGCAUCCCCAGUGGAGGAGCUCCUCCAGUUUUCCCAUGAGAAACAAGAGGAUAAUGCAGUGGAAGCCUUUUGAGUUCACUUGCUGCAGGUCAUAUAGCAGCUGGAAGCCUGCCCUGGCCUCAGAGAGGAUCUGCAGUGCCCACAGGAAUCAUGGGGUGGGUGGCAACAAUGAUGCUGCUUUUGCUGUCUUUACCUGCACAUGGCACGGGAAAGAAGAAAAUUUGCUGCAAAUUUGAAGCCAGGGUCAGUUUUCCCUGCAGAGAUCUUUUGUUUCUAGAAGCACCAUCUUGAUUUAAAAAUGUAAUUUUGAUAGCAAGAGGUUGGGUGGUCUUGCAUGUAGAGGGCUGGAAAUUAAACUAUCAACCUGGUUUCAUUUCAACAACAGCUGUUGGGCAAGAGGGUGGGAGAAGAGAAGGACUCUCUCCCCAGAAGGACAUGAAUGUGCCACUUUAGAAAUGAGAAAGGAGAGUGCUCCUUUUGGAGCACAGAGGAGGGCUACUUCCCACGUGACCUUCACAAAAGCAAAGACACAAAAACUAGGUUAGCCCAACUAAAAGAUGUAUUGAUCCACUGCAGGGAUAGUCUGAAAAUAAAUGAGUACGAGCUUGGAAACUACUUUGAGAUGGGCACAAUUUAGCAGGAGGUCAUUAAGUAUUUCUGUUUCCCUGGGCCAGGAUCUGGAAGAAUUUUAUCCCCAGGUUUAGGACCUCUCAGCAGAGCCUCAUGGAUCAUGAGUAUCCCUGCAUACCUGUUCUCCAGCAGAAGUCAGGCAGUGGCCCUAGAGCCAAUACAUGAGCCCAGCUCUCAGAACUGCCUCUGCUGGCUUUGGGCAGCUCCUGAAUUCUACUUGGAGAUGAGUUUUACCUUCAUACAGCCACACUUUCUCUCAGCAUGGACUUUCCUCCCUGUCCUUUGUGUCCUUUGUCUGGCUUUACCAGCCAACACAGGAAGAUUUUCCCUACACAGAAUGAUGUCAUUCUCAGGCAUUUAGCAGAAACCUGGUGAAGGUUUCCUAGAACUCAGAGGGCCUGAAAAAUUCUUUUAUCCCUGCUUGUCUGCUAAUGAUAGGAGACAAAGAAACUGAAUCUGAGCCUUUGCAAUCUUGCAGUUUUAGUAAUUUGUAAAUUUAAUAAUUUAGGGCAGUGACUAUGGCUCCACACAAAGUUGAUUCGGCUCUCUUCUCCUCUCCAGGCACGGACAGAUACACAGGGCCACUCAAAAAGAAAGGUGUCAUUCUUGUGAGGGCUUUCCACAAUAUGGAACACAAUAAAGGUUGUGAACCUGGUU